AUUGAACGCUGGCGGCAUGCCUUACACAUGCAAGUCGAACGGUAACAGGUCUUCGGAUGCUGACGAGUGGCGAACGGGUGAGUAAUACAUCGGAACGUGCCUAGUAGUGGGGGAUAACUACUCGAAAGAGUGGCUAAUACCGCAUGAGAUCUACGGAUGAAAGCAGGGGAUCGCAAGACCUUGUGCUACUAGAGCGGCCGAUGGCAGAUUAGGUAGUUGGUGGGAUAAAAGCUUACCAAGCCGACGAUCGGUAGCUGGUCUGAGAGGACGAUCAGCCACACUGGGACUGAGACACGGCCCAGACUCCUACGGGAGGCAGCAGUGGGGAAUUUUGGACAAUGGGCGCAAGCCUGAUCCAGCAAUGCCGCGUGCAGGAUGAAGGCCUUCGGGUUGUAAACUGCUUUUGUACGGAACGAAAAGCCCUGGGUUAAUACCCUGGGGUCAUGACGGUACCGUAAGAAUAAGCACCGGCUAACGAAGGGCCAGCCGCCGCAGUAACAC
rnacentral:rRNA from 1 species